rnacentral:rRNA from 1 species
GGUGGCAGCAGUAGGAAUAUUAGUUAAUGUGCGAAAGCGCGAACUAGCAACGCCGCGUGUGCGAUGACGGCCUUCGGGUUGUAAAGCACUUUUCUAAGGGACGAGGAAGGACGGUACCUUAGGAAUAAGCAUCGGCUAACUACGUGCCAGCAGCCGCGGUAAAACGUAGGAUGCGAGCGUUAUCCGGAUUUACUGGGCGUAAAGCGCGUGUAGGCGGUUCGGUAAGUUGGAUGUGAAAGCUCCCGGCUUAACUGGGAGAGGUCGUUCAAUACUGCCGAGCUAGAGGAUGGUAGAGGGAGGUGGAAUUCCGAGUGUAGUGGUGAAAUGCGUAGAUAUUCGGAGGAACACCAGUGGCGAAAGCGGCCUCCUGGACCAUUUCUGACGCUCAGACGCGAAAGCUAGGGUAGCAAACGGGAUUAGAGACCCCGGUAGUCCUAGCCGUAAACGAUGUAGACUUGGCGUCGGCGGGUUUAAAUCCGUCGGUGUCGAAGCUAACGCGAUAAGUCUACCGCCUGGGGACUACGGCAGCAAGGUUA